UGUUCCAUUCGUUGUGGCCUUGUUCAUUGAGUCAAAUACUUUGGGAUCUCCCUUUCAUAAGUUUCACAGAAUUUUACAGAAAUUAGUAAAUUUUGUAGUCGAUUGUGUAUAAGAUAUUGUAAAAAUUAUCGUAAAAAAUGUGUGACGAACGUAAUGGAAACGGUCAGGUGGUGAAGAGUAAGGGAACCCAGUAUGAACGAUCUGCGUUUAACACGCAACGUGUGGCCUCCUUCUUGGUAAAAGUAUUGGUCGUAAUCUCCGGACUUUUGUCUAUAUACACUCUCUAUCGUCUGUCCACGGGAGCGAUUCGUUGCUCGUGCACCAACAAUAUGCCGUGCUUCAAUCCCUUCUUCCACAUUAUUAGUAUUUUGCACCAUCUGUGGAAUAAGUUUCUCCAGCACUAAGUGAGCUCCGGCCAGGACCCCCAAAAUCAGUUAUAUCCAUCGUCUGGCUGCUUAUGUUCGCUGUUUUUCGUUCUUGUUUUUGUUUUGUGUUAAAACACCCUUGGAAAUUGGGCCGGAGAACUGGAGAGCCCAAUACAAGUGGGUUUUCUUUUGAGUUUUAUUGUGCAUCCACCGGCAGCAGAAGCAGCAGUCGAAGAUCCCUAAUGCACAAGCAAUGCACUAUUAAAUUAACCUAGUUCAGUGUU